GGGGCUGUUUGUCAUCACUCACGCAAACCUGUAGGACAGCUUUUUUUUUUUUUUUUAAAGGGUUUAUCCUGACAACAAUAUCUGGAUUUUUCUUCCCAGCUAGUAAGGUCUCUCCGGAACACGGCCCUGCAAUUGCAAGUGAAAUAUGCCACUGCUGUCUUGUACACACAGGUAGCAGUUAAGAAGAAAGGCGAGAACCACGACUGGAUGACAACUGUCUGGGGUCGGUUGUCUCCGUGAAAAUGCGCACCUCCCGACUGGCACAAGCGACCGGCAGCCUAUCUGCGUGUGUGGUGAAUAUUAAGUUUCCUAUCUCUUGGGAAGAGCAGGGGCCCACCACAGAUAAGUGGAUUGACAAGCCACGCCUAAUUAUGCAGACGUUAUAAAGAAGUGAAGAUAUAAAGUGACCUCUGACUCAACUGAUGAAUUGCGCAGAAGCUGUUCACUUUCCUUUCUGUGGGCCUCCAGCAACGGAGAAGCUGCGUGGCUCCAUUUACACAGGAGAAACCCUCUGCAAUCUGAACAGGUUCUCUCUCCAAAGGAGAAGUGUGCAAUGGGCAGUCCAGCUGAUUGGGGGCUGGCAUGCUGCUUCCCCCUGUAAAAGAAAUCGGGAGAGGCAGGGAGACUGUGCUGCACUGGCCAGGGUGUCAUCCUUGGGACCCAGACUCCAGGGUCAAACUUCUUCAGGAGCCAUGGUGGGUACAUACAGUCUUGUGAUAUUCCUUUGGCCAGGAUUCAGAGUGCAAGCCUGUUGGGGCCCAAGCUAUCCAAAUGCUCAGAUUCUGAAACGCCGGGACACAAUCUGAUCCCAAAGCCUGCCAUAAACUAGGUCAGUGUGAUAAGCAUGUUGCAAAAGAUGCUUCAAGAGCAACGAAUAAAAAACAUACAACACAA